UCCAUCGGUAGCCUCAAGGACAUGAGCCAGCGCUCUGCAGUGUGCAAUUGGUGGUAGGUGAUGACAGACUUCUUUGCCACCAGUUUCAAGAAACUACCAUCGCUGAAGAAGUACCACCACCUCAGGAUGACGUCUUCUAUGCCCGGGAAGGUGUAUGUUAAGGAAUGGGCAGCACACUCUUCUCAAACCUGGUGUCAUCUUUGACGAGAACGAGCUACCAUCAGUGAUACACCCAGCGGGUCUGUCCCUGCAGAGACAAUGGUACAAAAUCCGGGAGUUUUGUCCACUCCCAUCUCAUCCUCGACCGUUCAGCAGACAGAAGACAGAACACCCCCCAACGUCCAACGUGAAAUCAGUCCCACUCCCACUCCACCAUCGUCCCCGUUGUCACCUGCUCCACCUCCACCUAAGAGGCAGCGUGUAUGCGGAAUUUGCAGGACAGUGGGAUAUGACAAGAGGAACUGUCCCUCGAAUUGAACUCUCACAGCUCUCACAACCCUUUAAACCUUUUUUUUUUAGUUCUUCUAAGAACUGCCAACAAACAAAAGAAUUUGCUGUGUACAACAGAAGGGGUGCGUACAUGUGCGUACAUUUAAUAGCCUCACCUACAACAUUAUCGAAGGGGUGCGUAAAAUUAAAUACACGCAGUCUUAUACUGAUGAGGCAUCAAGCAAACUUACCCUUACAUGAUGAGCAUGAUGGAUUCAGAUGAUGGAUUCAGAGUGUUCUAAAUUCAUACAAGAUAAUUUUUUUUUAAAAGUACGCUUAUGAUGUAUUGCUCCCCUUCUAUUAUGAUCAUUUUAUACUAGACGUACUGGACUAGAUCUACUAAUAUAAAGGCAGCUAGCCAUAAUCUCAGUAGUAAACACACCGAAUAUACGCCAUGACAACGUUGCGGGGACACCCUCACAGCCAUAUUAAUUUUCAAAAAAUGCACAAAAUUUAUUAGUCCGUAGAAAACAGUGCGUAACUCGAAAGCGCUUCGACUUUUGAUAGUACAAGUUAGGCUAGGAACAGUCAAAGAUCACUAUCUCUGCAGCGGUAAGUAGCAGUUGCGUAUAAUACUGCUUUGUUACAUGGCUCUUUAGAUUCGCUAGAAGCUUUAAUACUCAUUGUAGUAAGUAUAUAGGACGUAGCUGUAGAGUUUGUAGUGCUGAGAAGCACCCUUUUUUUUGUGCAAGUACCUAGUCAAGUACACUAGGUACUAGGUGUGGCUGAUCACCAGAUGCAGCCUCGUGUAGUCUUAAAGAACAAAGAACAGGUAUGUUUGUACAUAUCAUCAUACUAUCAUCAUUACGUGUUACCAAGAGAUGCUCUUGUUGUUGGAUGUGCCAGGUUGGUUUGUGUAUAAUAGUUGCAUGAUGUACUUAUGUGUGUAGUACUUAUGUGUGUAGUACUUACAAUCAGAUCUCACCUCACCUGAUCAUCAAGAUCUCACCUCACCUGAUCCAAGAUCUCAAGGAACCGGCUCAUCGGAAGUCUAUUCAGAGGAAGAUUCAACAAUGGAACAGCAAGUUAACAAGGUAUCACUGACGAUCCGAGUUUGAGUCCGAACACUAUACAAGGUACACCCUCACGAUUUAAAGUUUUAAAGUUCCUCAACAAAGUUAUCCUACAACAACUUUGGUAAUUACCAAACUGAGGUGAUUCAUACUCUAUAAUUUAUAGUUCAUAAUAAUUAAUAUUCCGUAGUCCAUUGAUCCGUAGUCCAUUGAUCCCAUGGUGGGAGUUCACUGACACCUGCACAUCACACAUCACUGACACCAAAGCCCAUUGUCCUACAACAAUGGCUUUGGUUACCAAACUGAGGUGAUCCAUAUUAUAUAGUUCAUAAUUAAGUCCACUGAUCCAUACUCCCCACUGAUCCAUACUCCUCCAAUGAUGCUGUGGGGUCUGUGGGGUCUGUGGGGUCGCUGGGGUGACACCUGCUGGAUUUGGUUCACCAGUUUAACCGAUUAGCUGCGGUUGACGCAAAUUUGCGUCAUUAAGGAAUAAGCUGUUAGCCGCGGAUGACGCAUAUUUGCAUCAACCGCACAUUACUCUACUCUUAUUUAAUUUGUGGUAAGCUACAACCUUCCUGAGCUCCACAUCUUUGCAAGGCUUCUCUCGAAGGUCAACAGAAGCCAUACCAAGUCCGAUCGCCAUAGGUCACCAAUCAAAAAUUUGCUUAAAAUUUCGUGUGAAAUUUGUAUUUAUAUAAAUUCAAUAUCAAUCUCAAAAGUGAACAUACAUUAUAAUAAAUACAAUUACAAUUAAUUCUAUGGUAUAAAUAACGUUUCUCUCUCAGAGUCUGGCAUGACACAAUUGCAAGUUAUUGCAAAUGAGGCCAAAAACUAGCCCUCAACCUUUUAUCGCUAUUUUUUAAAAAUGAUAUUCUGUUACUAUAAUAUUGUAACAUUGAAAAUAUUGUAACAUUGAACUUGUUCUAGAGUAGUAAGGUAUAUAUCAGCAGCUAAAGGGUCCACAUUCAUCACUAGAUCCUCAAGCGUUGGUAUUGGAGACAACAUCUUCAUCAGCAUCAGCUGGGAUCGGUCCAUCCCCAUAUGUACGGGUGCACAAGAGCAUAAAUCUCCAAAAAAUUUUUUAGGGUACUCACCUUUGACCUGUUAUAACUCGCAAACCGUAACUAGCAAAAAAAAUAUUCAAAUUGUUCUAAAUAACCAGCAUCAAGUUUUUAGUGGUUGCUAUGAAAAAUUGAAAAUGCUAAGCUUUUUUUCUAAAUCAAGCAUAAAUCAAGCACACAGAAUUUUGUUAGAGAAGUCUCUGUAGCUAUUACAAGAUGCCUAAAACUAAGAGAAAGAUCCAUCUAGAGCAAGCAAGGGAAGCUAAGAAAGUCAAGUUGUCCCGCCACUAUCCCGCCAGAGCCAACCAUACCCGUACCACCAGCUUCUUCCAACUCAACUGAAACUCAGCCUCUCCUUGAUGAUGAAAAAGAUUAUGUUUGUCUCGAGAUAAUUUGAUGUCUUGAGACUUGUAUUAAAUGGUGUCAAGCAGACAGAUGCCGCUAAUCAAAUUGCGAACCUCAUUUUAACUCAUUUUAAGGAACGAAAGAACUGUGGAAGUAUUCUUUUUUCCAUGAUUCCCAUGAUUCCCAGCAAGGCAAGUAUCAACGUCAAGGAGUCUUUUGGCAAAAUGAAGACCUAAACAAAUCUGCAAGUAAAUUUGUUCGAGAAAAUGCCUGUUUAAAGGGAAAUCAAAUUUAACUGCCGCAAUAUUUUGUCCUUACUCCUGGCUAUCCGAGAGAGUGGCUAUCCGAGAGAGAUAAGUGCUCGUUGGUCUUAGACCAGAAAAAGGGUGUUUAUAUCGACGGCCAUGAAAGAGAGAUGUUAUACAGCAUCGAACAAAGUUCCUCUGCCAGCUUAUUGUUGGAGGAUGUUGGCCGAGUUGGCACCAAACGUUGAAGCUAAAGAGGCUGAUAUUGACCUGUUUAGACGGCAAAAAAAUAUCUUUAUAUUCCAUGACGAGUCAACUACAAUGGGGUACUCCUGAAAGUCAAGUUAUUCGCAAAGCGGCAUAAUGGUGUCCGAUUCCGAUUUCGUACUUGAACACGACGGAGGCAGAGUAUGAUGCAGCUAAGGUGAAUGAUCCAAACAUUACAAUGGGAGCGAGAACGAAUAUGGCGAAUCACGUGACGGAUAAGUAUCCCAAAUCAGAUUGCCAUAAUUAUGAUGGCCUUUGACGAGGAUUCUCUAAACGUGAAUCGCAUGAACGGCGAUGAACGCUGGUUCUGUACCUUGCAUGCAUAACACCACUUACAAAGGAAAGACGACGUACAUGACCAAAGAGGUCGGUUGUUUGGUCAGAAUACCCAGAGGUUUAACCGAUUAUUAUACGCCGCAUUGUUACGUCAGGGUUAGGGUUACACCCCCCACGGCCAUAUUAAUUUUUAAAAAAUGCAAAAUUAGUUAGUUCUUAGAAAACUGCUUGUAACUCGAAAGCGCUUCGACUUUUGAUUGUGCAAGUUAGGCUAGGAAGAUAUACCAGUCAAAGAUCUACAAGCUCGAAGGAUUGGCUGUGAUCUGCGCGCUACACAAGGUACUGGGUGUGGCUUAUAACCAGAGGCAGCUAUGUGUAAAAAGAAGCACUGGUAGUGGCAAAAAGGUGUGGCUGGAUCCAAUAAUCAGAGAUGGGGCCACGUAUGUACAGUGAACGUGAACAGAGGAACAGUGGCAGUAGCAGCGAGGUAAAAGUGUCUGUGUCUGCUGUCCGUGUGUGUCUGCUGUCCGUGAGUACUUGCUGUCACUGCCCAGUGCCCCUUCGCCUCUGUCAAGGGUAGAAUACAUGGAAGGUUGACGUUCGUGGUAGGACUGUCACAACAGUGGUCAGCAGUAUUCCUCAGUGUCAUGUCCUGUCCAGAUCUACAUUUUUGCUAAUAAUUAUUGUUGUAAUUAUUGUUGCAUUGAGUGAAGCUAUUUUAUUUGUUGGUUGGACUGUCCAGCUCCUCUCUAAACUGUUAUUGAUCAGAAAAUUCAUCAUCACUGCCCUCCGUGACUGGUCUAUUUCGCUGUACUCAGCUGUUUGUCAAUCUCUGCAGGUCCAGAAUUUCUUACAGCACCUCCUCACUGGUCUAGUGUGGCCUCUUGGCCGCUCUAUAUAAUUUUUUGAAAGUGUUUGUUUAUGCCAAUGAUUAAUAUUUAAUUUGUAAAGCAGCUGCUUGCAAAAAUAUUUUCUACAUAG